CAACCUCCUGAAACUCGGGGGUGUAUGUGAAGUUUCUCCCUGUCUCCAGAACUUCUGCCUGCCACCCCGUUCUGGGGUUCUCCCCCGAAGUCGGUCACACCACCGAGGAGUUUAUCUGCUGUUCAAGAGUGGUGAGCUCACCCCUGCUUCAAACCUGCCUCAGAGAAGUUGUUGGAGCUGCCUCAUCUGGUUGAGGAAAACUGAACUGGAAUGGCUUACUGGGACCCACCAUCCUGGCAAGAAGUCCA
rnacentral:lncRNA from 1 species